AUUCACUCAGAGCAGACCGAAGACUGUGAGACUUCCUCCCCACAGUGAGCUAAAAGGACGCUUUUGUCAGAGUGGGGAAAUAAAAGGGCUUUAUGGGAAGGAAGAUAAGAACAGAUGAGUCAGAGGUUUCUGCUUAAUGGUGGUACAGCCAAGCAGACAGGCAAGUAAGUGGCCAUACUGCUACUGCCUCAUGUAGGAUCCGGCAGGCUGGUGGGUUAUCAGUCCUCACGUGGGACCCUCCCACCAUGGCAGCUGAGCACAUCCAAGCUGGGGGAUCCUGAAGAGACCUUCACCUGGGUGCCACGUGGAAGAUUGGCCAGCACCAUUUUGACUCCUGUGGAUGGGAAACCCUGGAACAGUGUCUAUAAGUCAUGAAAAACAGAGCAAUUGAAAUGGAAUCUCACUUGGGACCCCAGUCACUGCUCCAGACUGACCAGUCAGUGGACAAGGCUUCUCGCAUUGCUCACCAGCACCCAAACUGCACCUGGUCACCUGUCUACAUUCAGAUUUAGAUGAAAGCCACACCAUGGAGGCAGCCAGAGGCCCAUGGGAGAUGUCUGGAUUCGCAGAGGAAUAGCUCCAUGUGAUGCAAACCUUGACUAAUGGGAACAGGAAAAGGGAGGAAACCAGGAAGAUAAAUCUCCCUCCCUUCUCAUUG
rnacentral:lncRNA from 1 species